AUUCUAUAUGUACAAAAUCAUGUACAAAAUCAAUGACAAACUUGACAAGUGGUGGCCCCCUGUUGGUGGAGUGGUGGUGGGGUCAGCCGCCCCACUAACAGGGAGCCGCCACUUGUCAAGUUUGUCAAACUUUUAGUAAUUGAUUUUGUACUUGUAGGCU
rnacentral:miRNA from 1 species